CAAACCACGUUAGCCAGCCACUUAAGUAGCUCUGAAUGAUUCACUAGCUUUGGUACUUUUUAUUGCCUGCUGUCAAAAUUCUGCACUGUUUGUGUACUGACAGAAUGGGGUUACUGAGCCAUGAUCAACGCUGGAGCCGGAAUGGCAUCAUUGCUUGAGGUUGGAAAAGAUGUUUAAGAUCAUCAAGUCCUGCCUGUUCUAUCAGACACCAGUGUUUGGGAAAGCUUCAGAAGACGACUUUGGACAGGCAGCUGUGCAAAAUGAGCUCUGUGACAGAAACAUCAGUGGUAUACUGCUUCA